rnacentral:misc_RNA from 1 species
UCUCCGUUGGUGAACCAGCGGAGGGAUCAUUACCGAGUCUAGCGCUCGCAAACCCACUGUGAACCUACCCAAGUACGUUGCUUUGGCGGGCGGCCCCGGGGGGGCCCAUCCGGCCGCUGGUGCCCGCCGGCAGCGCCAAGACCCUCUGUAUUUAUAGCGGAACUUCUCUGAGUGGCACGCUGAAGAAGCAAGUAAAAACUUUCAACAACGGAUCUCUUGGCUCUG